UACGUAGGGUGCAAGCGUUAAUCGGAAUUACUGGGCGUAAAGCGUGCGCAGGCGGUUUUGUAAGUCUGAUGUGAAAUCCCCGGGCUCAAGCUGGGAAUUGCAUUGGAGACUGCAAGGCUAGAAUCUGGCAGAGGGGGGUAGAAUUCCACGUGUAGCAGUGAAAUGCGUAGAGAUGUGGAGGAACACCGAUGGCGAAGGCAGCCCCCUGGGUCAAGAUUGACGCUCAUGCACGAAAGCGUGGGGAGCAAACAGG
rnacentral:rRNA from 1 species